AGCAGCCGCGGUAAUUCCAGCUCCAAUAGCGUAUAUUAAAGUUGCUGCAGUUAAAAAGCUCGUAGUUGAAUUUCGGGACCAUCAUGUUGGUCGUGCCUCGGUACGUACUGGCAUUGUUGGUUUCUCCCUUCUGACGAACCAUGAUGUCAUUUAUUUGGUGUCGUGGGAAAUCAGGACUGUUACUUUGAAAAAAUUAGAGUGUUUAAAGCAGGCUCACGCUUGAAUACAUUAGCAUGGAAUAAUGAAAUAGGACGUUUGAUUCUAUUUUGUUGGUUUCUAGGAUCGACGUAAUGAUUAAUAGGGAUAGUUGGGGGCAUUAGUAUUCAAUUGUCAGAGGUGAAAUUCUUGGAUUUAUUGAAGACUAACUACUGCGAAAGCAUUUGCCAAGGAUGUUUUCAUUAAUCAAGAACGAAAGUUAGGGGAUCGAAGACGAUCAGAUACCGUCGUAGUCUUAACCAUAAACUAUGCCGACUAGGGAUCGGAUGGUGUUAAUUUUUUAAUGACUCAUUCGGCGCCUUAC
rnacentral:misc_RNA from 2 species